rnacentral:lncRNA from 1 species
AACUCAUGCAGGCUGUACACAGGGAUGCAUACGACAGGGUUUUGCCGUGUUCCCCAGGCUGGUCUUGAACUCCUGAGCUCAAGUGAUCCUCCAGCUUUGACCUCCCAAAGUUUUGGAAUUACAGGCGUGAGCCACCGAGUCUGGCCCAUUUAUAUUAUUUUAAAACAUGUAUUUGGGAUUGUAGAUUGUUUUGACUGGAGAAAAAUCACAGAAGGAGAAUACAAUUUAUAAUGAUAAAAUCCUGUGCUUGUACUUAAACUUUAGUUCUCAAUUGAAAUAUUUUCCUAAGAAAUGUCUAAUACCCUCACAACUGAAUUAGUUGCUGUUUUACCCAGUGCAUUUAUAGCUUCCUGCCCUUAAACCUCUGAGAACAUUUAUCACACUGUAUCUCAUCCGCUUCUGCAGGGCAGGUGCUAUCUCUUGUCAUGUCAUUGUAUUCCCAAGACUUUGCACAUGUCUGACACAAGGUAGAUUGUCAAUAAAUAUAUACGGCAUUA